AAAUUCUGAUAUAAAAAACCUACUAAUGUUUUUUGUAUUUAUAAUGGUUAUUUUAGUUGGAGGUUCUUUA
rnacentral:sRNA from 1 species